rnacentral:rRNA from 1 species
UACGGGGGGGGCAAGCGUUGUUCGGAAUUACUGGGCGUAAAGGGCUCGUAGGCGGCCAACUAAGUCAGACGUGAAAUCCCUCGGCUUAACCGGGGAACUGCAUCUGAUACUGGAUGGCUUGAGUUCGGGAGAGGGAUGUGGAAUUCCAGGUGUAGCGGUGAAAUGCGUAGAUAUCUGGAGGAACACCGGUGGCGAAGGCGGCAUCCUGGACCGGUAUUGACGCUGAUGAGCGAAAGCCAGGGGAGCAAACGGG